rnacentral:rRNA from 1 species
CCCGCUGAACUUAAGCAUAUCAGUAAGCGGUGGAAAAGAAACUAACAAGGAUUCCCGCAGUAACUGCGAGUGAAGAGGGAUGAGCCCAGCUUUGGAAUCUGAGGCCGCUGGCUUCAGAGUUGUGGGUUGGUGAGUCGUAACUCGACGUGUGGUCCCUGCCUAACUGGCCCGGAAUGGCCGGACAUAGAGGGUGAUAUUCCUGUGUGGCGGGUGAACAUGCGUCCGGUGCGGCUCGUAGAGUCGGACUGUUUGGGAUUGCAGUUUGAAGUGGGUGGUAGACUCCAUCUAAGGCUAAAUACGAACGAGAGACCGAUAGCGAACAAGUACCGUGAGGGAAAAUUGAAAAGUGCCUUGGAAAGGGGGUGAAAAGUGCGUGAAAUUGCUGACAGGGAACCGAUUGAAGGCGCGGUGUUGGUGACUUCGGACACCAAACAGUUUCCGGCUCCCACGAGCCGGCGGAUUACGUAUUCCAAAACUGAGCGUUACCAAUCGACCCGUCUUGAAACACGG